UCAGCGCUGGAUCAGGGAGGCCAUUGAGAUCCGCAAGCGGGACCCGAGGACCAUCAACAGGCACGAGGGGGCAUACAUGCUCUCUCCGACCUGGAACAGCAUCUUGGAAGACUGAAUGGGCAGCAGAGGGUGUGACUUGCCUGUCAUUCUGACAGGUGAGUCACGCCUUCAUCCAUCAGCUGAUAAAGACGCGUCACACCAACAUCAGUGACCCUCUAACGAAGGCGGAAAUGCUCGCCGAAACAUGUCAGGGUCGCAGGCAGCUGGAGGUUGUCAAAGCAGACUUUAGGCAAAAGGUGAACUUCUCCCUGAAGUGGUCGCCAAUCAAUCACAGAAUUCUUCACGCCUGAUCCCGAGCAGUACCAUCGCCUGAUUGACCUCCCGUCAACUUUUGACAGCUACGACCUGGCGUGCACGUGUGCUGCUCCGAGCCUCGUGCAAAAUUAAAUAAACGUUGC